AACGCGAAGAACCUUACCUGGGCUAGAAAGCACGCGAACCUGGUAGAAACAUCGGGGUGCUCUUCGGAGAAUGCGUGGUUAGGUGCUGCAUGGCUGUCGUCAGCUCGUGUCGUGAGAUGUUGGGUUAAGUCCCGCAACGAGCGCAACCCUCGUCCUAUGUUGCCAGCGGGUAAUGCCGGGGACUCAUAGGAGACUGCCGGGGUCAACUCGGAGGAAGGUGGGGAUGACGUCAAGUCCUCAUGCCCCUUAUGUCUUGGGCUGCAAACAUGCUACAAUGGCCGGUACAAAGGGUUGCGAGACCGCAAGGUGGAGCGAAUCCCAAAAAGCCGGUCUCAGUUCGGAUUGGGGUCUGCAACUCGACCCCAUGAAGUCGGAGUCGCUAGUAAUCGCGAAUCAGCAACGUCGCGGUGAAUACGUUCCCGGGCCUUGUACACACCGGAGUA
rnacentral:rRNA from 1 species